rnacentral:rRNA from 1 species
GCCAUUAGGGGGAUAGCUUCGGUAGCUAAGCUUAGUCUGGGUGCCGCUCCUUUACCGUCUCGCCGGCGCCACCGUCCUCUCCGUCGUCGAGCGCGUGGAGACGCUGGAGCAGCGGCUGAGGGAGGAGGGGGUGGAGCUUGGGCUUGGCGACCGCUGCGCCGCCGGCGUCGAGUGCUCUCUCCUUCUCGCCGCGUAUGAGCAGCGCGAGAGGGCCCAUUUGUUCUGUUAAGCUCCAACCCUGCUGCUGCUCCACCUACUACCCCUCGUUCCCACGCGUAGCCUAGUCUAACAAAGCACGAGCCUUCUUCGAGUGUCAACGACAAACGGUGGACUGGUGGUAAAACUACUACCCAAAUCGACGGACCGGUUAUAAUAGAGGUAUCACCAACCGAAUGAAGUAGAUACAUCACUAAUAUAAUUCGUGAGUCGACCCUUAUAGAACUACCGGUAGAGAUUAAGGGAUUACUUCAAACUUCGGCAAACCUAAGUCAAACAACUCGACCAGACCCGUCGAUAUGUGUGCCAUAGUUGUACGCGAGUAUUAGUAAGAUGUUAAUUACGGUGGUUUCCAAGACAACCAACAAGGAGACGACGCCUUUCGUAUUCAGUUCUGUGAUGCUGACUUUCGUGGUCAUAAUGUUCGAAAUAUCGUCAUGAGUUUGAUGCUAUACAGUUAUGGUUAUCCGUCUAUUACUGAACGGAGAAAGCUCAUGAUGUGUAAUAAGACUUCGAAGACUUUGAGUUACUGAGACUUGACUUUCUACUGAAGUAAACGGACAGGUAAGUAGUAUAAGUCUUCAAUGUAACCCUAGGACCAAUGGCUGAGUUACGGCCCUUUCAACAUUCGUAACAGUGUCUACUGGCUGCAUCAAACUGAUUUCUAAGACGUGUCAAACCUUAACACAGUCCGUCAGAGGAGGUCGAGAACACGAGAAAUCAACUCGUUUCACUGUGUCUUCUGUGUCUGGAUGCUCUAUAUAAACACCUUGAACGUCUACAGUAAGGAUCUAAUCGUUGAAAGAAUGUUCUCGUUGUCCUAUAGGGUUUUUCAGAGAGAGUCAUAAGUUUCGUGUUUUAUAACUACAAUUACUAUUCCGAAUUCGGAGUGUAUGUCGUCUUGACGAGUGUACAACAAACAAACGACUUUAAUGAAGCUGCGGUGAAAGUCUCAGGUGAGGUACUUGGAUACAAGGUUGUAUCGUGAUUUGACCUCUUGACAAAUCUUCCUAGGGGUAAAAACAAUUCACCACAUCCAAACCCGCUCGAAGUCCUAUUUAGAUGAGCCGUGAAUGUUUCCGUCCGAUACAUAAACAAAGAAUCAACAAGCUAUCAGAACCGAACGUCACCUUUACUAUCAUCUGACUUUACAAGUACAUUCUCUCUAGUUACAACAGUGUUCCCCCUUCCGACGUGACUAUUAACGUUGAUAAAACCGAAUAGUCUUUAGAGUCAAACCAAAGUCUCUACAACGAAUCUGUUCUAAAACCUGAGUUUUAGUAGUUGUCUGUAACAAAAUACGAAAGACGUCAAUAUAUACCUCCUCCUGCUAUACAAUAAGUAGUAAGAGAACGUCGAAAACCUACGAGGUGAAUAAAGCAACCGUUAUCUAUUCUACCUUUGAUUUACCUGCAGACUUGAAUAACCACGGUUUGACAAGAGGCAUCAAAAACUGGGUCAAGUAUAAAAAGUAGUUACCGAAAGUAACAACGUGAUACUAGUGAACCAUGAACAACUAAUAGAGUAUAGAUUUCUACAUCCACACGUAACACGGGUCAUAGAUAAUGCCACGAAUGCUGACCAUAGGCCCACAACCCUACGAAAACAGCUACUAAGUCAAAUGCUCCGUGUUUAUGUUUUUAAGUUGACAUUUUCCGUUUCUUGGAACUUUUUAUAUUUAUCAAAUUGACCGUCGAGUUACCUUCCGUGAUUCAACCCAAGGAGAGUACUGUUCCUUUUAUUCUCGUUUCUUGUCGAAAAGGACUCACGAUUUCACACAGAGGAAAGCAAUUUCGCUUGAAACCUCCUAGAAGUAUUCUUUCUAAAUAAGGGAAUGUUAGGUUUCGGAGACGAAUUUUCGAACAGGUCUAAACUCCUCGAGACACACGUCAUGACUUUGUUAAUUCAACGUGGGCCACUGUGCGAUGGUAAAGACACCAACUUAUAAACGGAGAGACGCCACGCCGGACCAGAGGCAACGGUGGGAGUAACGGACCAGUGAGACCGUUAUGGCGUUACGACGUCAGAAGCUGUUCUAGUACGGGAGAUGGAGCCUGGAACAAGCGCGCUAGUACCUCCUUCGAGCGAGGACCCGUCGACGGCCUCGGUGUCCUCAAUUACGUAAUUAGGGACAUUGAACUUGACUACAAAAACCCCGACUCGUAGGGGAGACAGGAGACGAGUGGAUCGCAGGGCCGGUGCGGUCGAACACAUGCACCGAUCCAGCGAAGAGACAUGAAAGAGGGGAGAUAGUUACGUUUCUAUGCGAGGUUUCGCAUAAGGACUUUUU